UACGUAGGGUGCGAGCGUUAAUCGGAAUUACUGGGCGUAAAGCGUGCGCAGGCGGCUUUGCAAGACAGAUGUGAAAUCCCCGGGCUUAACCUGGGAACUGCAUUUGUGACUGCAUGGCUGGAGUGCGGCAGAGGGGGAUGGAAUUCCGCGUGUAGCAGUGAAAUGCGUAGAUAUGCGGAGGAACACCGAUGGCGAAGGCAAUCCCC
rnacentral:rRNA from 1 species